rnacentral:rRNA from 1 species
CGUCCUACGGGGGGCAGCAGUGGGGAAUAUUGGGCAAUGGGCGCAAGCCUGACCCAGCAACGCCGCGUGAAGGAAGAAGGCUUUCGGGUUGUAAACUUCCUUUCUCAGGGACGAAGCAAGUGACGGUACCUGAGGAAUAAGCCACGGCUAACUACGUGCCAGCAGCCGCGGUAAUACGUAGGUGGCAAGCGUUAUCCGGAUUUAUUGGGUUUAAAGGGUGCGCAGGCGGAUUUUUAAGUCAGCGGUCAAAUCGUGGGGCUCAACCCCAUCCAGCCGUUGAAACUGGGGAUCUAGAGUGUGCGAGG